rnacentral:rRNA from 1 species
GACGAACGCUGGCGGCGUGCUUAACACAUGCAAGUCGAACGGAAAGGCCCUGCUUUUGUGGGGUGCUCGAGUGGCGAACGGGUGAGUAACACGUGAGUAACCUGCCCUUGACUUUGGGAUAACUUCAGGAAACUGGGGCUAAUACCGGAUAGGAGCUCCUGCUGCAUGGUGGGGGUUGGAAAGUUUCGGCGGUUGGGGAUGGACUCGCGGCUUAUCAGCUUGUUGGUGGGGUAGUGGCUUACCAAGGCUUUGACGGGUAGCCGGCCUGAGAGGGUGACCGGCCACAUUGGGACUGAGGUACGGCCCAGCCUCCUACGGGAGGCAGCAGUGGGGAAUAUUGCACAAUGGGCGGAAGCCUGAUGCAGCAACGCCGCGUGCGGGAUGACGGCCUUCGGGUUGUAAACCGCUUUCGCCUGUGACGAAGCGUGAGUGACGGUAAUGGGUAAAGAAGCACCGGCUAACUACGUG